AGAAAUUUACCACAUUUAUGAGAGGUUUGGGCUAAGGAAUGGGUAAGAGCCUCUGCUUACAUCUUAUUCAAAAUUUAGGUCCUGGUGGCUUAAAAAUGGCUCAAUUACAAUUGUUCAUUGUAUUUUUUUAGAUUAUUUGAAAUAAGCCAAGAAGUAGGCCAAAUAAUUCUAAAUUCUUUUUGGAAGUAACUAUCGUACAAAAUCUUUAACCCAUAAGUUGGUGAUUUAAUUAUUUAUUUUGUUCUUCCAGAAGGACCUAUAUCUCAAGGUAACCAAAUAAGUAUAACUAAUAAGAAAUAGUUUUUUGCUUUUUUUAACAAAAGAAUCACAUAUAGUAUAAUACAAUAAAAUAAUUUUUUAAAAUCACUACUGCCCUUUAUUAUUAAAUAAACUAAAUAAUCUAUUCAAGCUAAUACCAUUAUAUGAAAAAUUAACUUAGAAAUGAAUAUUCACAGUCCACCAAAAAGUAAGCUGGUGUGAUAUAAAGCUUUGUAAUGGAGGAAUUAGACUGUAACUAUCUAAACCUCAAAAUUAAUUUUAUCUGAACCAAUAGGAAAUAAAUGACACAUGUAUACUGAUGCAAUACAAUAUGAAAUACUCAGCUUCAUCUCUAAGUUAUUCUUGCCUAAUUUUUUAAUCUGAAUUUAGUCAAGUCCAUAGAUCUAAAUUUCUUUUUAUUACAAAUGCAGGGAAUAGAGUGGCAUGUAAAUACCACCAGGAUACAUUUGCUAAACCUAAAAGAGAAUUGGUAUUUUCCUCCCAACAAGUUCAUAACUAAAAUGUAAAGGAAUGGGAAUGGAUUUUCUACAUUAAAGAUUUAAAAAACAAUAUCUAGCCCUGUUUCCAACAACUCGCUUUAUAAUUUUUUAAAUCUAUUUUUUAUUUUUUUGAGACGGAGUCUCACUCUGUCGCCAGGCUGGAGUGCAGUGAGGCGAUCUCAGCUCACUGCAACCUCCUCCUCCUGGGUUCAAGCAAUUCUCCUGCCUCAGCCUUCCAAGUAGCGGGGAUUACAGGUGCGCACCAACACAUCUGGCUA
rnacentral:lncRNA from 10 species